CUGGCCUUCCGAGGCAUGUGCACGCCCUGCUCAUCCACUCUACACCUGUGCACUUACUGUGGGUAUCAGAUCGUGAAGCGUGCUCUUUUACCGGAGCUUGUGAAGCGUGUCUGUGCCUGCGUUUAUCACAAACACUAUAAAGUAUCAGAAUGUGUAUUACGAUGUAACGCAUCUAUAUACAACUUUCAGCAACGGAUCUCUUGGCUCUCGCAUCGAUGAAGAACGCAGCGAAAUGCGAUAAGUAAUGUGAAUUGCAGAAUUCAGUGAAUCAUCGAAUCUUUGAACGCACCUUGCGCUCCUUGGUAUUCCGAGGAGCAUGCCUGUUUGAGUGUCAUGAAAUCUUCAACCUAUAAGCUUUUGUGGUUUGUAGGCUUGGACUUGGAGGCUUGUCGGCCUUGAUCGGUCGGCUCCUCUUAAAUGCAUUAGCUUGAUUCCUUGCGGAUCGGCUCUCGGUGUGAUAAUAUCUACGCCGCGACCGUGAAGCGUUUGGCGAGCUUCUAACCGUCUCACUUGAGAGACAACUUUAUGACCUCUGACCUCAAAUCAGGUAGGACUACCCGCUGAACUUAAGCAUAUCAAUAAGACGGAGGAA
rnacentral:rRNA from 1 species